rnacentral:rRNA from 1 species
UUGGAGGGCAAGUCUGGUGCCAGCAGCCGCGGUAAUUCCAGCUCCAAUAGCGUAUAUUAAAGUUGUUGCAGUUAAAAAGCUCGUAGUUGAAUUUCGGGGUCAGUAGGUUGGUCAUGCCACCGGUAUGUACUGGUCUCACUGAUUCCUCCUUCCUGAUGAACUGUAAUGCCAUUAAUUUGGUGUUGCAGGGAAUCUGGACUGUUACUUUGAAAAAAUUAGAGUGUUUAAAGCAGGCUAACGCCUGAAUACAUUAGCAUGGAAUAAUGAAAUAGGACGUUCGAUCCUAUUUUGUUGGUUUCUAGGAUUGACGUAAUGAUUAAUAGGGAUAGUUGGGGGCAUUAGUAUUCAAUUGUCAGAGGUGAAAUUCUUGGAUUUAUUGAAGACUAACUUCUGCGAAAGCAUUUGCCAAGGAUGUUUUCAUUAAUCAAGAACGAAAGUUAGGGGAUCGAAGACGAUCAGAUACCGUCGUAGUCUUAACCAUAAACUAUGCCGACUAGGGAUCGGAUGAUGUUAAUUUUUUAAUGACUCAUUCGGCGCCUUACGGGAAAC